GAUGAACGCUGGCGGCGUGCCUAAUACAUGCAAGUCGAGCGAACAGACGAGGAGCUUGCUCCUCUGACGUUAGCGGCGGACGGGUGAGUAACACGUGGAUAACCUACCUAUAAGACUGGGAUAACUUCGGGAAACCGGAGCUAAUACCGGAUAAUAUAUUGAACCGCAUGGUUCAAUAGUGAAAGACGGUUUUGCUGUCACUUAUAGAUGGAUCCGCGCCGCAUUAGCUAGUUGGUAAGGUAACGGCUUACCAAGGCAACGAUGCGUAGCCGACCUGAGAGGGGGAUCGGCCCCCCUGGAACUGGGACCCGGUCCAGACUCCUACGGGAGGCAGCAGUAGGGAAUCUUCCGCAAUGGGGGAAAGCCUGACGGGGCAACGCCGCGUGAGGGAUUAAGGUUUUCGGAUCGUAAAACUCUGUUAUUAGGGAAGAACAAAUGUGUAAGUAACUAUGCACGUCUUGACGGUACCUAAUCAGAAAGCCACGGCUAACUACGUG
rnacentral:rRNA from 1 species